rnacentral:rRNA from 1 species
UGAGACACGGCCCAAACUCCUACGGGAGGCAGCAGUGGGGAAUCUUGCACAAUGGAGGAAACUCUGAUGCAGCGAUGCCGCGUGAGUGAAGAAGGCCCUUGGGUUGUAAAGCUCUUUCGUCGGGGAAGAAAAUGACUGUACCCGAAUAAGAAGGUCCGGCUAACUUCGUGCCAGCAGCCGCGGUAAUACGAAGGGACCUAGCGUAGUUCGGAAUUACUGGGCUUAAAGAGUUCGUAGGUGGUUGAAAAAGUUGGUGGUGAAAUCCCAGAGCUUAACUCUGGAACUGCCAUCAAAACUUUUCAGCUAGAGUAUGAUAGAGGAAAGCAGAAUUUCUAGUGUAGAGGUGAAAUUCGUAGAUAUUAGAAAGAAUACCAAUUGCGAAGGCAGCUUUCUGGAUCAUUACUGACACUGAGGAACGAAAGCAUGGGUAGCGAAGAGGAUUAGAUACCCUCGUAGUCCAUGCCGUAAACGAUGUGUGUUAGACGUUGGAAAUUUAUUUUCAGUGUCGCAGCGAAAGCGAUAAACACACCGCCUGGGGAGUACGACCGCAAGGUUAAAACUCAAAUGAAUUGACGGGGACCCGCACAAGUAGUGGAGCAUGUGGUUUAAUUCGAAGAUACGCGCAGAACCUUACCAACACUUGACAUGUUCGUCGCGACUUUAAGAGAUUAAAGUUUUCGGUUCGGCCGGACGAAACACAGGUGCUGCAUGGCUGUCGUCAGCUCGUGUCGUGAGAUGUUGGGUUAAGUCCCGCAACGAGCGCAACCCUCACUUUUAGUUGCCAUCAUUAAGUUGGGCACUCUGAAAGAACUGCCAGUGAUAAGCUGGAGGAAGGUGGGGAUGACGUCAAGUCCUCAUGGCCCUUACGUGUUGGGCUACACACGUGCUACAAUGGUAUCUACAACAGGAAGCAAGACUGCGAAGUUUAGCAAAUCCUUAAAAGAUACCUCAGUUCGGAUUGCACUCUGCAACUCGAGUGCAUGAAGCUGGAAUUACUAGUAAUCGUGGAUCAGCGUGCCACGGUGAAUGCGUUCCCGGGUCUUGUACACACCGCCCGUCACACCAUGGGAGUUGGUUCUACCUUAAGGCAAGGUUUCAAACCCUUGACCACGGUAUAGUCAGCGACUGGGGUGAAGUCGUAACAAGGUAGCCGUAGGGGAACCUGCGGCUG